rnacentral:rRNA from 1 species
UACGUAGGGGGCAAGCGUUGUCCGGAAUCAUUGGGCGUAAAGAGCUCGUAGGCGGUCUGUCGCGUCGGAUGUGAAAAUCCAGGGCUCAACCCUGGACCUGCAUUCGAUACGGGCAGACUAGAGUUCGGUAGGGGAGACUGGAAUUCCUGGUGUAGCGGUGAAAUGCGCAGAUAUCAGGAGGAACACCGGUGGCGAAGGCGGGUCUCUGGGCCGAAACUGACGCUGAGGCGCGAAAGCGUGGGGAGCAAACAGG